GGCGGACGGGUGAGUAAUGUCUGGGAAACUGCCUGAUGGAGGGGGAUAACUACUGGAAACGGUGGCUAAUACCGCAUAACGUCGCAAGACCAAAGAGGGGGACCUUCGGGCCUCUUGCCAUCAGAUGUGCCCAGAUGGGAUUAGCUAGUUGGUGAGGUAACGGCUCACCAAGGCGACGAUCCCUAGCUGGUCUGAGAGGAUGACCAGCCACACUGGAACUGAGACACGGUCCAGACUCCUACGGGAGGCAGCAGUGGGGAAUAUUGCACAAUGGGCGCAAGCCUGAUGCAGCCAUGCCGCGUGUAUGAAGAAGGCCUUCGGGUUGUAAAGUACUUUCAGCGGGGAGGAAGGUGUUGUGGUUAAUAACCGCAGCAAUUGACGUUACCCGCAGAAGAAGCACCGGCUAACUCCGUGCCAGCAGCCGCGGUAAUACGGAGGGUGCAAGCGUUAAUCGGAAUUACUGGGCGUAAAGCGCACGCAGGCGGUCUGUCAAGUCGGAUGUGAAAUCCCCGGGCUCAACCUGGGAACUGCAUUCGAAACUGGCAGGCUUGAGUCUUGUAGAGGGGGGUAGAAUUCCAGGUGUAGCGGUGAAAUGCGUAGAGAUCUGGAGGAAUACCGGUGGCGAAGGCGGCCCCCUGGACAAAGACUGACGCUCAGGUGCGAAAGCGUGGGGAGCAAACAGGAUUAGAUACCCUGGUAGUCCACGCCGUAAACGAUGUCUACUUGGAGGUUGUGCCCUUGAGGCGUGGCUUCCGGAGCUAACGCGUUAAGUAGACCGCCUGGGGAGUACGGCCGCAAGGUUAAAACUCAAAUGAAUUGACGGGGGCCCGCACAAGCGGUGGAGCAUGUGGUUUAAUUCGAUGCAACGCGAAGAACCUUACCUGGUCUUGACAUCCACAGAACUUUCCAGAGAUGGAUUGGUGCCUUCGGGAACUGUGAGACAGGUGCUGCAUGGCUGUCGUCAGCUCGUGUUGUGAAAUGUUGGGUUAAGUCCCGCAACGAGCGCAAC
rnacentral:rRNA from 1 species